GAAAGUAAGUAAGGGCGUAUGGGGGAUGCCUAGGCUCUUGGAGGCUAAGAAGGACGUGGUAAGCUGCGAAAAGCUGCGGGGAUUUGCAAACGAGACUCGAUCCGCAGAUAUCCGAAUGGGACAACCCGGCAGGUAGAAGACCUGUCACACCGCGAGGUGAGCUAACCCUCUGAACUGAAACAUCUAAGUAGGAGGAGGAAAAGAAAGAAACAUCGAUUUCCAAAGUAGCGGCGAGCGAAAUGGAAGAAGCCCAAACCGAUAUUGUUACGGCAAUAUCGGGGUUGUAGGACUGCAAUAUUCAAUUAACAAUGAACUGGAAUGGUCUGGAAAGUCCAUCCAUAGAGAGUGAAAGGCUCGUACAGGUAAGUUUGUUAUGCGAAAGCAGUAUCCUGAGUAUGGCGGGACACGAGGAAUCCUGUCAGAAUCAGCCGGGACCACCCGGUAAGGCUAAAUACUCCCAAGAGACCGAUAGUGGACCAGUACUGUGAAGGAAAGGUGAAAAGAACCCCGAACAGGGGAGUGAAAUAGAACCUGAAACCAUACGCUUACAACCGGUCGGAGCAGCUUCGUGCUGUGACGGCGUGCCUAUUGAAUAAUGAGCCUACGAGUUACUAAUCACUAGCGAGGUUAAGUGCAAGGAUGCACGGAGCCGAAGCGAAAGCGAGUCUGAACAGGGCGUUUAGUUAGUGGUUGUAGACGCGAAACCUUGCGAUCUACCCUUGAGCAGGUUGAAGGUUGGGUAAAACCAACUGGAGGACCGAACGAAUAAGCGUUGAAAAGCUUCUCGAUGACUUGAGGGUAGGGGUGAAAGGCUAAUCAAGCUGGGAAAUAGCUCGUACUCCCCGAAAUGCCUUUUGGGGCAGCGUUGUAAUAAAGAGUCUACUGGAGGUAGAGCUACUGAUUGGAUGCGGGGGCUUCACCGCCUACCAAAUCCUGACAAACUCCGAAUGCCAGUAGUAUGAUUUACAGCAGUGAGUGACUGGGUGCUAAUGUCCAGUCGCAAAAGAGGAACAACUCAGACCAGCAACUAAGGUCCCGAAGAAUAUGCUAAGUUGAUCUAACGAUGUUUUGUUGCAGAGACAGCUAGGAUGUUAGCUUGGAAGCAGCUAUUCAUUCAAAGAGUGCGUAACAGCUCACUAGUCGAGCGACAGAGCGUGGAUAAUAAACGGGCAUCAAGCAUAUCACCGAAGUUCUGGGCGCGAGAGCGCGGUAGGGGAGCAUUCCAUUCAGCGUCGAAGCAGUUUCGUGAGGAAUUGUGGAGCGUAUGGAAAAGCAAAUGUAGGCAUGAGUAACGAUAAUGCGGGAGAGUAACCCGCACACCGCAAGACCAAGGUUUCCUGAUCAACGCUAAUCGGAUCAGGGUUAGUCGGGUCCUAAGGGUAAGCCGAACGGCGAUCUCGAUGGAUAAUCGGUUAAUAUUCCGAUACUAACAUAUACCUCGAUGGAGAGACGAAGGAACGUAAGUGCCGCCACCUGACGGAAUAGGUGGUUAAAGGGCGUAGGUAUAGGGGCAGAUUAAGAGUUAGUCCUUGCUGAAACCUGACAGUACAGAGAGCCUACGGGCAAUUUGAUAGAGCACCCAAGUCGACUUCCGAGAAAAUCUUCUAAGUUAUAGUAUAUGUUACCCGUACCGUAAACCGACACAGGUGGUCGAGGAGAGUAUCCUAAGGUGCUCGAGUGAAUCACGGUUAAGGAACUAGGCAAAUUAACCCCGUAACUUCGGGAAAAGGGGUCCCUAUGAAAGUAGGGCGCAGCGAAGAGGUCCAGGCGACUGUUUAUCAAAAACACAGGGCUCUGCAAAUUCGAAAGAAGACGUAUAGGGCCUGACACCUGCCCGGUGCUGGAAGGUUAAGAGGGGAUGUCAUCGCAAGAGAAGCAUUGAAUCGAAGCCCCAGUAAACGGCGGCCGUAACUAUAACGGUCCUAAGGUAGCGAAAUUCCUUGUCAGGU
rnacentral:rRNA from 1 species